GGGAGGUAGUGACAAUAAAUAACAAUACGGGGUUCUUUAGGAUCUCGUAAUUGGAAUGAGUACAAUUUAAAUCUCUUAACGAGGAACAAUUGGAGGGCAAGUCUGGUGCCAGCAGCCGCGGUAAUUCCAGCUCCAAUAGCGUAUAUUAAAGUUGUUGCAGUUAAAAAGCUCGUAGUUGAAUUUCGGGAUCAAUAUAUCGGUCAUGCUUAGGUAUGUACUGGUAUUAUUGAUUUCUCCCUUCUGAAGAACCAUGAUGUCAUUUAUGUGAUGUCGUGGGGAAUCAGGACUGUUACUUUGAAAAAAUUAGAGUGUUUAAAGCAGGCUUUCGCUUGAAUACAUUAGCAUGGAAUAAUGAAAUAGGACGUUUGAUUCUAUUUUGUUGGUUUCUAGGAUCGACGUAAUGAUUAAUAGGGAUAGUUGGG
rnacentral:rRNA from 1 species